rnacentral:rRNA from 1 species
CCUGCCGGACCUGACUGCUAUCGGAUUGAUACUAAGCCAUGCGAGUCUUUGUAGUAAUACAAGGCAGACGGCUCAGUAACACGUAGUCAACCUACCCUAUGGACAAGAAUAAUCUCGGGAAACUGAGCAUAAUUCUUGAUAGAUCAUAAUGCCUGGAAUGGUUUAUGGUUAAAAUGAUUCGUCGCCAUAGGAUGGGACUGCGGCCUAUCAGCUUGUUGGUGAGGUAAUGGCCCACCAAGGCGAUUACAGGUACGGGCUCUGAGAGGAGAAGCCCGGAGAUGGGUACUGAGACACGGACCCAGGCCCUAUGGGGCGCAGCAGGCGAGAAAACUUUGCAAUGUGCGAAAGCACGACAAGGUUAAUCCGAGUGAUUUCUGCUAAAGAAAUCUUUUGCCAGUCAUAAAACCACUGGUGAAUAAGGGGUGGGCAAGUUCUGGUGUCAGCCGCCGCGGUAAAACCAGCACCUCAAGUGGUCAGGAUGAUUAUUGGGCCUAAAGCAUCCGUAGCCGGCCUUGUAAGUUUUCGGUUAAAUCCAUGUGCUCAACGCAUGGGCUGCCGAAAAUACUGCAUAGCUAGGGAGUGGGAGAGGUAGACGGUACUCAGUAGGAAGGGGUAAAAUCCUUUGAUCUAUUGAUGACCACCUGUGGCGAAGGCGGUCUACCAGAACACGUUCGACGGUGAGGGAUGAAAGCUGGGGGAGCAAACCGGAUUAGAUACCCGGGUAGUCCCAGCUGUAAACGAUGCAGACUCGAUGAUGCAUUGGCAUAAUAGCCAAUGCAGUGUCGCAGGGAAGCCGUUAAGUCUGCCGCCUGGGAAGUACGUACGCAAGUAUGAAACUUAAAGGA